rnacentral:rRNA from 1 species
CCUACGGGUGGCAGCAGUGAGGAAUAUUGGUCAAUGGCCGAGAGGCUGAACCAGCCAAGUCGCGUGAGGGAAGACGGCCCUACGGGUUGUAAACCUCUUUUGUCGGGGAGCAAAGCGAACCACGUGUGGUUCAUUGAGAGUACCCGAAGAAAAAGCAUCGGCUAACUCCGUGCCAGCAGCCGCGGUAAUACGGAGGAUGCGAGCGUUAUCCGGAUUUAUUGGGUUUAAAGGGUGCGUAGGCGGGCAUUUAAGCCGGCGGGCAAAUGUCGGGGCUCAACCCCGGCCUGCCGUCGGAACUGGGUGCCUUGAGUGGGCGAGAAGUAUGCGGAAUGCGUGGUGUAGCGGUGAAAUGCAUAGAUAUCACGCAGAACCCCGAUUGCGAAGGCAGCAUACCGGCGCCCUACUGACGCUGAGGCACGAAAGUGCGGGUAUCGAACAGGAUUAGAUACCCCUGUAGUC